rnacentral:rRNA from 1 species
UACGGGGGGGAGCAAGCGUUGUUCGGAUUUACUGGGCGUAAAGGGCGCGUAGGCGGCCACCGCAAGUCGACUGUGAAAUCUCCGGGCUUAACCCGGAAAGGUCAGCCGAUACUGCGGGGCUAGAGUGCAGAAGGGGCAACUGGAAUUCUCGGUGUAGCGGUGAAAUGCGUAGAUAUCUGGAGGAACACCGGUGGCGAAGGCGGCAUCCUGGACCGACACUGACACUGAGGAGCGAAAGCCAGGGGAGACAAACGGG